rnacentral:rRNA from 1 species
CGGGUGAGUAACGCGUGAGGAACCUGCCUCAAAGAGGGGGACAACAGUUGGAAACGACUGCUAAUACCGCAUAAGCCCACGGCUCGGCAUCGAGCAGAGGGAAAAGGAGCAAUCCGCUUUGAGAUGGCCUCGCGUCCGAUUAGCUAGUUGGUGAGGUAAUGGCCCACCAAGGCGACGAUUGGUAGCCGGACUGAGAGGUUGAACGGCCACAUUGGGACUGAGACACGGCCCAG